UUAAUGACAACUUCUGCCAAUUGUCUUGUAUUUUUCUCUCACUAUCAGGUUGAAAAGAUUGCAGACAAAAGAAAGGACAAAAAAGGCAAAUGGGAAUAUCUCAUUAGAUGGAAAAGUUAUGGGAGUAAUGAGGAUACCUGAGAACCGGCGUAUCAUCUACUGCAUUGUGAGAAGUUAAUUGCUGAAUUUAAUGGUCUCCAUUGGUCCAAGGAGAAGCAGGUGAAAUCGGGGAAGCCAAGCAGUGCGUCCAAAUUUUUACAAGAAAGUCAAGGUGUAUACAUUGAGGAAACAAUUUACAGGCCUUCAGAAUCUAGGAAAGAUUCCACUCUGGAUAAUCGAGAUUCAAACCUGCAGAGUGUUAUGGAAAGAAAAAUGGAUGGGAAGAGAGAUGUCUUUGAUAAGAGGCUCAGAUAAAGCAUCUGUCAAAAUGAAAAUAACAGUCUAUAUUUGAGACAUUGUGGUCAGGAAGGAAGAUGGAUUCACCCACAUCGUGUUCUCCAGUCAGACAUCACGUAACAGUGCCCUGACCCCUGAGAUUAUGAAAGAAAUGCAGAGAGCCUUAUGCAGUGCAUCAGCUGAUGACAGCAAGCUUUUGCUUCUCAGUGCAGUUGGAAAUUCAUUCUGUAGCAGCUUGGAUUACUUUUAUUUACUAAGCCAGUUAUCCAACGAAAGAAGAAAGGAAAGCACCAGGAUUACAGAGGU